ACUCUUUAAAAGGGCGCACUGAAAUAGCUGCUGUGAAGCUGACAGGUAAACGCUCUCAUGUUCUGUUUGUUCUAUUUACUGCGUAGCAACUUUGAACACAUUAGCUAGAAAAGAGAACAAGAUUAAACCAAGACUGUGUGACAAACAGACAGAGUAGUAAGGUCUUGUGUGUACGUGCGCAUUCAGACGUCACCAUCACUGGAAUAAUCUAUAAUUUGUAGUCUUUGGAGGUCCCAACAGCUAUUGUAUACGAGCCUGAGACAAUCAUGAUCCUCCUCAGCCCUUCUUCUGGUAGGUUCUUGUUUCUCAAUCUCAUCUCAUAAUCUGGAUUAGUGUACAUCCAAAAAAGCAACGGGUGCCAGAGAUGGAAGCCAAGCUCUGCUGAGUUCUCAUUAGGCAGCAAAACGGCCACUAAUGGGCUGAAGGAGUCACGCUGAGAUGCUUGGACCAAAAAGAUUGGAUCAAUUAUUAAUGAUAGUGAUUAUUUAAUCAUUGAGCAUUCAGUGCAUGUUUGAAUAUUAUACAUUGAGUGCAGAUAUACAUCAAUAUUAAGAAAACAACAAUAUAAUGUUCACAUAGACGUAAUGCUUCCAGGAGACAAUUUGUACAGUGAACUUUGCUAAUGUGUGUAAGACUAUAAUACAGAUUGAUGACCGCACUAGGAAUGAAUGUUGCAUUGCUGGUGCGUACUGUUUAUAUAGUAUUUAGAGCUGUUUUUGUCUUUAAUAUUUUAUUUACCUUAACAUCAGGUGACACAAAUGUAGAUCAUUUGAAUUUUUCACAUAGUUAACUUGAAGUUAUUCCUGUUAUAUAUUAUUCUAUUUGUGUUUAGUGGUUACCAUACACAGCACAAAACAUUGCAGGGUGUUACAUAACAAGGGCCUUCCCAUCAUGCCUUGCACUCAGGCAGCAUUCCAGAAUUAGUGACCUGCUUGAAAUUGACAGUGUGUCCGGCUCUGGCUUUAUCCCCCUUUUUUUUUUUAUCAGAGACCAGACAAUUAAGUGGUCAGAGUAUUGAUCUGCAACCCCACAGACUUGGCAUAUAUGCUCUAUUAUGUCAUUCACUGUAACCAAAGCAAUCGCAUCACAGUAUUCAUCUAGAAAACUUUGUCUUGUCAAGUGAAAGGUCGACUGUAAUCUGCAUUCAGUCAUGUGUUUCUUUAACAGUGUAUCAGAUAAUACUUUGAAUGCCAGGUUGUAACAUGUGUGAAAGGCCAUAAAGAGAAGUAAAAAAAAAAAAAGCAUGCUGUCAAGUAAACCUGUAAGUUGUUGUUGGCUUUCUGCUGUGUCUCAUGCGCUGUUUUCUUUCAGAUGAAGAGUCUCUUGAACUCGCCUGGCUUUGGACUCACAGGAAGUUCAGGGUGAAAAAACACUUUGAGAGUUGCUAUACUGCAACAUUUAAAAACUAUAUUUAAAUUUUGCAGGCCGUUUUCACUUGUGCAUUCUGUCUUGGACAGUACUAUGACUUGAGAGAAAGUAAUGAACUCACAGGGAAGGAGGCAGACAGAAAACAAAGAUGUCUUUGUUUGGCUUCAUUAAAAAACAUCACAGCUUUGUGGGGGCUGGUGGGAGGCAAAGUCAGCAGACAUUCUAUUAUGCUGACUAAGAUUUAGCCUUCUAUUACACAUCUCUCUUUAAAAAAGUCACCAAACUUAACAAGUCAUAAUUUGCAGAUUGAAAAAAAAACACAUGACUCAAUUAAGUCAUCACUGUUUACAUGAUACAUUUGUAUUUUAAAUAACAGGAGAACCAGGGGAUAGGUUCAUUGAAUGCCAGCAUCUCCAUUAAGGUCGAGGCUGCAGUGGUAUUAUAGAUCUGAACAGUUAGAGUGCUGCUGCGUUUGAAAGGCUAAUUGAUCUCACGUCUGGUAUGUGUCACUGCUGUAGGUCCAACUCACUCUCACUAUAGCCAGUGGUGUUUUUGCUAGUCCCUUAUAGCUGCCUCCCCACAUUUGUGUUUAUGUCCCCCCCCUCUCCCCCCCCCUGAUAAGAUCACAAUUGAGUGCUAACAAUUCACAUACAUCUUUUCACACUGUCUCUCUUCCUAUUUGUAUGAUUAUUAAUUUUUACUGCAUGUUAUUGUGGCCGUUUUUUUUUCACAACAGCUAAAGAUAAAUGUCUAUGUUUGUUACAUAGUUAUAACUGAUAUUCUAAUGCUACAUAAUAAAGCACUCUAUGAUUUUGCAUGCUGUGAGCUGCGCACCUGUGAUUGCAUUAUGAAUGUACAGUAUCAAUGCAUUUUAGUGAUCUGAAAGUGGAUGAAUGUAUCGUAAGGUCGGUCUCGCUCCAAUAAACAUACGUCUUGGUAAGUGAUGCAUCUUUUACACAAGACGAAGAAACUAAUUAAAUAUGCUCUAAGAAUAGAGAUGAACAUAUUUAAGCAUACGUCACAUGAACCUCACUAUGGAUUCCAGCUACAUGAUAGAAUAAUAAGAUUUUUUCGAGAUUACUUUGACAUUUUCCCUCUCACACAAACUUAGUUUUGAUUCAGACUGACUGGGAUAAAAGCAAUUAACUCUUCCCAUCCAUCCAAAAGACCAGUGGCUUCGGUCUCCCUAGCAUAGUAGGGAUGUAGCAUUUAGCUUAAGCUUCUUUAACCACAGCAGAGGUGAUGGACCCAACACGAAUAUCUACUAACUGCAACUGUUGUCUGGUCUCAGGUUUCUUCCAGUGCACCAACAAGCUCUUUCUCAGUGAUCAGGCCACAGGACUCCAGAUCAAGGAGUUUGCACGUAAAAAUGCUGCUAAUGCUCUGUCUGUCGCCAACAUGGUCAUGGGCAUGGCCUCCAUUCUCAGCAGUCUGAACGGGCACCAUCAUGCUGCGUGUUGGCUGGUCCUGAUUGGCUACCUGCUUGACUUGGCAGAUGGAGCGGUUGCCAGGCGACUUGAUGCCUGCUCUGCACUGGAUGCCACAGUUCAGUGCAGGCUGUUGGCCAUGCAUAUUUCAUCAGCGAGUAUGAAGUGCAACAGGAGGGAGUAUGGACUAACUGCAACCAUGAUACGGUGCAAAGCUGGAUGAUUUUGCUGACUUUACAACCUUCGGAAUCGCAACAUCAUUGCUCCUGAGGACAUCCGACCUGCUGGAUAACAUCCUGUGCAUGUGUUACGUCCUGUCUGUGUUCGUGCGCCUCUGUUUCUUCACAAGUGGCAUUCCAUUCAUGUACCGUGGCCUGCCCUGCAUCUACUCCUCUGCCAUCCUGGCCAGUGCCUCUCUGCUGUCGGGCGGAAACCUGGCCUUGCUGCGGGUCAUUGCAGUGGCUAUGAUUCUCUUUAUGAUCAGUCAGAACUUCUACCCACAUGAUAGAGUGUUGGAAUCCCAGGCCUGGAAGAAAGUAGUCUAUGCUGGAGGGGUCAUCAUGGUGUUCUGCUCUUCCUUCCCCCCUGCAUGCGUGUACUACCUGCUGUGGUCCGUCUCCUACAUCUUAUUCCCAACAUCCCUUUGGAGCAGUAAAGUCUAAGAGGGAUGCUGUGUUUUUUUUUCAAAACCCCUAGCAAGUAUUUCCUCAGGUCCAUCAGGUCCAUCCAGAUAGACUGAGGCCUCAGACUGUCGCUGCUCCUCACUGCAAUGGAAGAUCCAAGCUGAAAAUGCUCAUGCCCCAGGAGAAAACUCUUGCUCUGUUUAACCCUCAUUUCGAUGUAACGCCUCUUAGAGAGUUAGAGUAAGGAAGGAGAGGGGCGCUUUUAAUGUCACUACUAAGGUUUAACCUCCAUGCUGUCUUUUGUAUCCAUCUCAUCCCAUCACUGAAGCUAGCACCUGGUUGGCUAGCUCUAAAAAAACAACUUUUCAUCAGGUUAAUCUCCUGUGUAAUCUCUUUUUCAUUAUUAAUCCAAUCUUACAUGAAUAUCAGGAGGCAUCAUGUUCUCACAGGAUGAUUUAAAAGGAGAAUCUCAGAUGAAUUAUUGAAUGGAUUUCCAAUCCAUUAGCUGCUUCAUUUGGGCUUUAAAUUACAUCAUUUGGUAAUCAUACACAAACAAACAGUCAAAUUAUGGUUAUAGUUUGAGUCCAACAAUUUGCAUGCAAGGCCUUCAAUCUAUGGCCAUACUACAGGAUUUCAUAACAGCAUACUCAACCUUAAACUUCCAUGAUACUUGUUACUAUAAUAAUGGUUAUACAACACUACAACCAGUCCUGUGUUAACUAACAACCUGUUAAUGUUUGUAACUGCGUCUGGGUCACCUCACUUCCAUAGCACGUAGGUCAGGAGGUUAGCUUCCUCAGAAUCUACUUUUUCCAUUUUGUAGGAGUUACAACUCCAGUAAGACCUAGUAGGAGGAAUUCAAAUGUGAUACAUCAGAUCAUGGAUGUGACUGCUAUUAUUGGAUUAUCAGUUUGAAUGUUUGAAAUAAGCUACAUUGAAAGUCAAAUUCUGGCUUCUGUAAAUAAGGGACUUUUGAUUUGUUUAGCUUUUAAGAUUGAUGCCUUUUUACCAAGUUGUCCAAGACCGUAUUUAAUAGAUUUUCAUAGAUCUUCUAUGUAUGAUUUUAUUCAGUCGUUCAAUGUGUUUGCCUCUGUUUUAAGAGGCAUUGCAGUAAGAACAGUAGGACAAAACUGGAUUAUAUCCUCAUAUUGUCACUUCUCAUAAUAUCUGCAGUCUGUGGCAUCGGUGAUUAAGGUGGAGUCAGAUGCAUCACAGGUGGAUGUUGCAACUUCUAAAUUGAACUGCAACACCAUUUUUUCCUUAUUUGAUUUAGCUUACAUUUGUUUUGAAGAACUGCAAAUUCCAGGCUGCACCCACACUGCAAAUAUUGAAUUUUUUGCCACCUUGUGAGUCGACAUGUCACCUCGCUGCAGGUUCUGCCUUCACCUUAAAUGUGUUGAAUAACAGUCAGUGUCUGCUGUGCUUACAAAUGCACUGGAACAGUACUUAGCAGCAGUGAAACCUAUAAAGGAAGGAUGGAGAGGAUUAAAGAGUGUUGUUGCACUUCAUCAUGGCCAGUAUUCACUUUUUUGUAGACCACCGCCUUUUUAAUAUGGACUCCUUUAUGGCACCACUCAUCUCGUGAUAAUGUAUAUAUACUUUUUUUUGGAAAGAUCUGCACUCGCUUUAAGCAAUAACUCAUAGUGUUAGAAGUUAACGAGUCAUCUAAACGAAUAUCCCUGUAAAGAGAAACUUUGUGAUGGAGCAGGAUUUCAUAGAGGAUGAAGAAUGACACAUUUCUGCUGGUUCUGAUACAAGUUCAAACCAGCUGUUCUGUGUGGUUUGUGAUAACCAGGGUUUAAAAGAAAAAUCCACAGCACAAAGUGAAGUUUAAAGACUGAACAUAAAUGUACUUUAGUCCAUUCAAUAGAGCAUUCAGCUUUCCUGUGUGGUUGUUUUGGUUUCAAAAGUCACAGUAAUGUACGCAUGCCAAGAGCAUUACAGGUUCAAACUGUGCUAUGACCAACGAUACAAGUAUGUUAACAUCUUAAUGAAGAAAAAGAGCUCUGCUAAUAGGUCUGUACAUUUUUGACAAUAAAGAAGUAAUAAUGAAAUAA